rfam:Schistosoma margrebowiei strain Zambia genome assembly, scaffold: SMRZ_scaffold0000081
AUCCAGCUGACGAGUCCCGAAUGGGACGAAACGCGCGUCAAAAUUGGAU